AGAGUAGCUCAGUUGGUAGAGCGUCAGCCUUCCAAGCUGAAUGUCGCCGGUUCGAACCCGGUCUCC
rnacentral:tRNA from 1 species